rnacentral:tRNA from 1 species
GCGCCCUUAGCUCAGUGGUAGAGCGUUCGAUUCACAUUCGAAAGGCCGUUGGUCCGAUCCCAACAGGGCGCACCA